GAUGAACGCUGGCGGCGUGCUUAACACAUGCAAGUCGAACGAUGAAGCCCAGCUUGCUGGGUGGAUUAGUGGCGAACGGGUGAGUAACACGCGAGUAACCUGCCCUUAACUCUGGGAUAAGCCUGGGAAACUGGGUCUAAUACCGGAUAGGAGCGUCCACCGCAUGGUGGGUGCUGGAAAGAUUUAUCGGUUUUGGAUGGACUCGCGGCCUAUCAGCUUGUUGGUGAGGUAAUGGCUCACCAAGGCGACGACGGGUAGCCGGCCUGAGAGGGUGACCGGCCACACUGGGACUGAGACACGGCCCAGACUCCUACGGGAGGCAGCAGUGGGGAAUAUUGCACAAUGGGCGCAAGCCUGAUGCAGCGACGCCGCGUGAGGGAUGACGGCCUUCGGGUUGUAAACCUCUUUCAGUAGGGAAGAAGCGAAAGUGACGGUACCUGCAGAAGAAGCACCGGCUAACUACGUG
rnacentral:rRNA from 1 species